rnacentral:lncRNA from 1 species
GCGCAUUUCUGCGAGUCCGAGGGAAGGCAGAGCUCCACAGCUUGGCAGAGGUAUGCCAAGAAGAACAAGGCCGGCAAACGUAACCUCAUCCAUCCAUUGCCUCAUCCUGAUGACUUUGUCGCCCUCCUGAUUCAUCCCGUGGGGUCCUUCCUCCUUCGUUGAUUGAUUUGAUUUUGUGGUACUCUCUGAAUUGGAUGGGCAACUACAAUCAAGGUAGCGCAAUUAUGAAUUCUUGAUAGUGGAACGAAGUGCUGUCUAC